CCAUCCUGUCGGUGCCACUCUCAGCACAGCUCAGGGGAUGUGGGGACAGCAGAGUCCCUCUCCAGAGCUUGGGAAGCACCUCCAGAGGUGGGGCAGGGCCUCUGUGGGAGCAGGAGGCAGCUCUGGAGCUCUGACACCCAAACCAGCCGGUGCUUUACGCUUGGAAGGACUGAAAAUUAUCCAGGUUCCAGGAGAGCCGUCUGCAGUGCCCAGGAAUGAUGCUGCUCUCAGUUUGCAAGGGACUUACUACACGAUGCUGCAAACCAGCCAAGUGUCCCUGCAAAAUGGAUGCUGGAUAAAGUCUCAUUAAAUUAGCUGAGUGAUGGAAUAAAUGCACAGCCCGUGGCUCUCCAGUCCAGAGCAAACCGAGCACGGGGCUGAUAUCUCCGAGUUCUGCUUAUUUACACAUGCCUCGGACUCUUCUCACAGAUAUGUAAAUUAUCCUGGUUAAAACUAAAUGCUAAAGUCUACACCAUUAGUCUUCCACUUCAUGAUCUCCACAUGGGGCUGUUAGAGGGAUAAUGUACCAUACAAUACACGGUUUACUUUUAAUUAAUAGGAAAAAAAAGUGAAAUGAAUAUUAAAUGUAGCUUAAUGUGAAAGAAACCUCAAAGCAGUAUGGUUGUUUUUUGUUGGGUUUUUGGUGGUUU